rnacentral:rRNA from 1 species
UUUAAUUCCCGUUGAUCCUGCGGGAGGCUACUGCUAUCGGGUUUCGAAUUAGACAUGCAAGUUAGAGAUUCUUAGGAGUCUCGGCGAAAGGCUCAGUAACACGUCGAUAAUCUGUCCUUAGGUUCAGGAUAAUCUCGGGAAACUGAGGAUAAUACUGAAUAGGAGAAGAAUACUGGAAUGUUUCUUCUCUGAAACGUAAGGCCUAAGGGUGAGUCGGCGGCUGAAUAGGUUGUUGGUGAGGUAACGGCUCACCAAGCCGAUGAUCAGUAGGGGAGAUGAGAGUCUUGGCCUCGAGAAGGGCACUGAGAUACUGGCCCUAGUCUUAAGGGAUGCAGCAGUCACGAAACCUUUACAAUGCACGAAAGUGUGAUAAGGGGAGCCCGAGUGCCUUGCCUAUGGUAAGGCUUUUGUUAAGUGUAAAAAGCUUGGCGAAUAAGUGGUGGGCAAUACCGGUGCCAGCCGCCGCGGUAACACCGGAGCCACAAGUGGUAGCCAUGUAUAUUGGGCCUAAAGCGUUCGUAGCCGGUUUAGUAAAUCUUUUGUGAAAUUGUUAGGCUUAACCUAACAGCGUGCAAGAGACACUACUUUACUCGAGACUGGAAGAGGACAGAGGUAUUUCAUGGGGAGCGGUUAAAUGCUAUAAUCCAUGGGGGACCACCAAUGGCGAAGGCAUCUGUCCAGUACGGUUCUGACGGUGAGGAACGAAGGCUAGGGGAGCGAUCCGGAUUAGAUACCCGAGUAGUCCUAGCUGUAAACGCUGCGAGCUGGGUGGUACAUUUUUUUCGUGAACAUGUACUUCCUGAGUGAAGACGUUAAGCUCGCCGCCUGGGUAGUAUAGUCGCAAGGCCGAAACUUAAAGGAAUUGGCGGGAGCUCACUACAAGGAGUGCGGCGUGCGGUUUAAUUCGAAUAUACACAGGAAAUCUCACCAGGAGCGACGGCAGGAUGAAGGUCAGAUUGAAGGUUUUACCUGACGAGCCGAGAGGAGGUGCAUGGCCGUCGUCAGUUCGUGCCGUAAGGUGUUCGGUUAAGUCCGACAACGAACAAGACCCACGUUCACAUUUGCCAUCAUCAUCUACGGAUGGAAUGGGCACAAUGUGAAGACUGCCUUCGAAAGGAGGAGGAAGGUGUGGGCAACGAUAGGUCAGUAUGCCCCGAAUCUCCUGGGCUACACACGCGCAACAAUGGUAAGAACAAUGGGCUGCGACCCCGAAAGGGGAAGCUAAACCUCGAAAUCUUAUCCUAGUCUAGAUUGAGGGCUGUAACCCGCCCUCAUGACAAUGGAAUUCCUAGUAAUCGGGUCUCAACAUGGCCCGGUGAACACGUCCCUGAGCUUUGUACACACUGCCCGUCAAGCCAUCCGAGUGGGGUCUAGGUGAGGUUUGGUUAUUUGACUAACCCGAAUCUGGGUUCCGUGAGGCGGGUUAAGUCGUCACAAGGUAGCCGUAGGGGAACCUGCGGCUGGAUCACCUCCUU